rnacentral:tRNA from 2 species
CGACCGCCUCGGCGCCGGCGACGUUGGCGGCGCUGUCGUCGACGAACACCGCCGUGCGCGGAUCGAUGCCGCGGCGGUCGA